rnacentral:rRNA from 1 species
GACGAACGCUGGCGGCGCGCUUAACACAUGCAAGUCGAACGGAAAGGCCCUGCUUUUGUGGGGUGCUCGAGUGGCGAACGGGUGAGUAACACGUGAGUAACCUGCCCUUGACUUUGGGAUAACUUCAGGAAACUGGGGCUAAUACCGGAUAGGAGCUCCUGCUGCAUGGUGGGGGUUGGAAAGUUUCGGCGGUUGGGGAUGGACUCGCGGCUUAUCAGCUUGUUGGUGGGGUAGUGGCUUACCAAGGCUUUGACGGGUAGCCGGCCUGAGAGGGUGACCGGCCACAUUGGGACUGAGAUACGGCCCAGACUCCUACGGGAGGCAGCAGUGGGGAAUAUUGCACAAUGGGCGGAAGCCUGAUGCAGCAACGCCGCGUGCGGGAUGACGGCCUUCGGGUUGUAAACCGCUUUCGCCUGUGACGAAGCGUGAGUGACGGUAAUGGGUAAAGAAGCACCGGCUAACUACGUGCCAGCGGCCGCGGUGAUACGUAGGGUGCGAGCGUUGUCCGGAUUUAUUGGGCGUAAAGGGCUCGUAGGUGGUUGAUCGCGUCGGAAGUGUAAUCUUGGGGCUUAACCCUGAGCGUGCUUUCGAUACGGGUUGACUUGAGGAAGGUAGGGGAGAAUGGAAUUCCUGGUGGAGCGGUGGAAUGCGCAGAUAUCAGGAGGAACACCAGUGGCGAAGGCGGUUCUCUGGGCCUUUCCUGACGCUGAGGAGCGAAAGCGUGGGGAGCGAACAGGCUUAGAUACCCUGGUAGUCCACGCUGUAAACGGUGGGUACUAGGUGUGGGGUCCAUUCCACGGGUUCCGUGCCGUAGCUAACGCUUUAAGUACCCCGCCUGGGGAGUACGGCCGCAAGGCUAAAACUCAAAGGAAUUGACGGGGCCCCGCACAAGCGGCGGAGCAUGCGGAUUAAUUCGAUGCAACGCGUAGAACCUUACCUGGGUUUGACAUGGAUCGGGAGCGCUCAGAGAUGGGUGUGCCUCUUUUGGGGUCGGUUCACAGGUGGUGCAUGGCUGUCGUCAGCUCGUGUCGUGAGAUGUUGGGUUAAGUCCCGCAACGAGCGCAACCCUUGUUCACUGUUGCCAGCACGUUAUGGUGGGGACUCAGUGGAGACCGCCGGGGUCAACUCGGAGGAAGGUGGGGAUGACGUCAAGUCAUCAUGCCCCUUAUGUCCAGGGCUUCACGCAUGCUACAAUGGCUGGUACAGAGAGUGGCGAGCCUGUGAGGGUGAGCGAAUCUCGGAAAGCCGGUCUCAGUUCGGAUUGGGGUCUGCAACUCGACCUCAUGAAGUCGGAGUCGCUAGUAAUCGCAGAUCAGCAACGCUGCGGUGAAUACGUUCCCGGG